rnacentral:rRNA from 1 species
GGGGGAAUUGGUUAACCGGGAAGAACCCUUUCCAAGGCUUGACUUACACGGAAACGGCCCAGAAAUGUUCAACUCUUGGGACACUCGUGAACAGGUGGGGCAUGGUUCUCGUCAGCUCGUGUCGUGAGAUGUUGGGUUAAGUCCCGCAACGAGCGCAACCCUCGUUUUAUGUUGCCAGCGCGUAAUGGCGGGAACUCAUAGGAGACUGCCGGGGUCAACUCGGAGGAAGGUGGGGAUGACGUCAAAUCAUCAUGCCCCUUAUGUCUUGGGCUUCACGCAUGCUACAAUGGCCGGUACAAAGGGCUGCAAUACCGUAAGGUGGAGCGAAUCCCAAAAAGCCGGUCUCAGUUCGGAUUGAGGUCUGCAACUCGACCUCAUGAAGUCGGAGUCGCUAGUAAUCGCAGAUCAGC